CGCAAGUGUAUUCCUAUACUGUUGCGUUUAAAUAGCUCGUAGUUGGAUCUGCGUGUUUAGCGCGUGGUGCCGUUUUUCGACGGUUACUACGACGCGACACAGUGUGCUGGUGAAUGAUGCUCUCGCGAGUGUUAGUUGCCAGCGAGUUUACUUUGAACAAAUCAGAGUGCUCAAAACGGGCGUUUCGCUCGAAUGUUCUUGCAUGGAAUAAUGGAAUAGGACCUCGUGUUCUAUUUUGUUGGUUUUCGGGACCGAGGUAAUGAUUAAGAGGGACAGACGGGGGCAUUUGUACUGCGACGUGAGAGGUGAAAUUCUUGGAUCGUCGCAAGACAGACUACUGCGAAAGCAUUUGCCAAGAAUGUUUUCAUUAA
rnacentral:rRNA from 1 species